rnacentral:rRNA from 1 species
UGCCGCGUGAGUGAUGAAGGCCUUAGGGUUGUAAAGCUCUUUCGGUGGGGAAGAUAAUGACGGUAACCAUAAAAGAAGCCCCGGCUAACUCCGUGCCAGCAGCCGCGGUAAUACUGAGGGGGCUAGCGUUACUCGGAAUUACUGGGCGUAAAGCGAGCGUAGGCGGUUGAUCAAGUUGGGGGUGAAAGCCCGGGGCUCAACCCCGGAACUGCCCUCCAAACUAAUUAACUAGAGAACGGGAGAGGGGAGUGGAAUUCCCAGUGUAGAGGUGAAAUUCGUAGAUAUUGGGAAGAACACCAGUGGCGAAGGCGACUCUCUGGACCGAUUCUGACGCUGAGGCUCGAAAGCGUGGGUAGCAAACAGGAUUAGAUACCCUGGUAGUCCACGCCGUAAACGAUGAGUGCUAGACGU